rnacentral:rRNA from 1 species
UACGUAGGCAGCGAGCGUUGUUCGGAGUUACUGGGCGUAAAGAGUGCGUAGGCGGUUUUCUAAGUUUGGUGUGAAAUCUCCCGGCUCAACUGGGAGGGUGCGCCGAAGACUGGAAGGCUUGAGUAUGGGAGAGGUAAGCGGAAUUCCUGGUGUAGCGGUGAAAUGCGCAGAUAUCAGGAAGAACACCCGUGGCUAAGGCGGCUCUCUAGUACGGUACUGACGCUGAGACGCGAAAGCGUGGGGAGCGAACAGG